rnacentral:lncRNA from 1 species
UAAUUUUAAUAUGAUAUUGCAUAGUUUGGUAUGGUUGAAUCUAAUUGUUGUAGAUCCAAUUGUUGUAGCUGGAAGUUGAAACUGCACAAGAAAACUAAACGCCCCAAUAGUUCCAUACUAGAUAGAAAAAGAUUGUAAUUGAAAAUAUAAAGGAUCAUGAACUGUAAUGAUAUAUAAUAACUGAGCUUGAUUAAGUAUUUUGAAUAGAUGGUUUGGACCUAAUAAGUUAGAGAAAUGAUUCGGUACUUUUUAAAAAAAUAAAUAAAAAAGAUCUUAACCGUUGAUUAAUAGAGGGUAAAAAUGUAAUUUUAAUAUUUAGCAGGUAAAGGAUUAUUUUAUGCAAGAUUAGUUUGGUAAUUAAAUAAUACAACAUUUAAAGAAACUUUUAAUUGAGGUCCUAAAUUUAUGCAUUAAUUUGCACUAAUUUAGGAAAUUAAUUAAUUGAUUAACCAAAUUUAUGCAUUAAUUAGGCAUUAAUUUAGGCAUCUACUUUAAAUGUUUUAGUGUUUCUAAAAUUAUGCAUUAAUUUAAAUUAUAGGAAUUUUAGAAAUAGUUCUAUUUCUAAAUACGAUGAAUUUAAAUUUUAAAUAUUAAAUAUUUAAAAUUUAAAAGUGAAAUUUAAAUUAGAGGAAUUUUGUAUUACUAUUUAAAAAAAUUGUAAUGUUGGUAAAUAUUUUAAUUCAACAUAUUUAAUAUGUUUAAGAAACUUUUAAAUUCCUAUAGUUUAGACAUUAAUUUUGUAUCACUUAUUUAAAAAAUUUUGAAUGUAGGUUAAAAAAUUUAUAAUUUAAAUGUAUUUAAUAUGUUAAAAAAAAUUUAGAAUUGUUCUACUUUAGACAUUAAUUUUGUAUGACUAUUUAAAAAUAUUUAUAAUGGUAAAUAUUUAAAUUUAACAUAUUUAAUACGUUUAACGAAAUUAUGAAUUUAUCUUAGUCAUUAAUUUUGUAUACUAAUUUUAAAAAAUUAAAUGUGGGCAAAUAUUUAAAUUCAACAUAUUUAAUAUGUUUAAAAAAAUUUAAGAAUUUUUCUAAUUUAGUUAUUAAAAAAGGAAACAAAGAGAAAAUAAAAAUUUUGAAAAUAUAGUAGAGAUAAAAUGACGAAAUUGCCCAUGUAUUAAAAGACAAAAAUAUCAUUUUUUGAGGUACCUGGUAACCGGUACCUCUCCCAAAGUGACCUGCUAUUGUGGGUCACAAUUUAAAAAAAACUAAAUCUGAGCCAUUGAAUACGCGUGAAUGAACGGUAAUAAAAAAAAAAAAAAAUAGAAGCAUUACUCAAUAAAUUAUUAUUGCUAGCAAAUUGAGUCGUUAUAUUUAGUAUUGAAGAAAGUACAGUAUCCAACUAC